rnacentral:rRNA from 1 species
CUCGUAGUUGAACCUUGGGUCUGGCUGGCCGGUCCGCCUCACCGCGAGUACUGGUCCGGCUGGACCUUUCCUUCUGGGGAACCUCAUGGCCUUCACUGGCUGUGGGGGGAACCAGGACUUUUACUGUGAAAAAAUUAGAGUGUUCAAAGCAGGCCUAUGCUCGAAUACAUUAGCAUGGAAUAAUAGAAUAGGACGUGCGGUUCUAUUUUGUUGGUUUCUAGGACCGCCGUAAUGAUUAAUAGGGAUAGUCGGGGGCGUCAGUAUUCAGCUGUCAGAGGUGAAAUUCUUGGAUUUGCUGAAGACUAACUACUGCGAAAGCAUUCGCCAAGGAUGUUUUCAUUAAUCAGGGAACGAAAGUUAGGGGAUCGAAGACGAUCAGAUACCGUCGUAGUCUUAACCAUAAACUAUGCCGACUAGGGAUCGGGCGGUGUUUCUAUAAUGACCCGCUCGGCACCUUACGAGAAAUCAAAGUUUUUGGGUUCUGGGGGGAGUAUGGUCGCAAGGCUGAAACUUAAAGAAAUUGACGGAAGGGCACCACAAGGCGUGGGGCCUGCGGCUUAAUUUGACUCAACACGGGGAAACUCACCAGGUCCAGACAAAAUAAGGAUUGACAGAUUGAGAG